GUGUCAUGGAUCGAAUUAAUGAGAGUAGCAGCUUCAUUUUCUGCCCCCAACUUUUCCUCAGUUUGAUUAAAAGCAUUGGUAAGUUUCUUGAAUUCAUCUAAAUUUUCAUCAAGAUUCUUGUUUUGAUUCAUUUUAAAUGAAAAUAACUUCUCCCUUAUGAACAUCUUAUUUGAUAGGUCUUUCAAUACAAUGCCUUCAAUUUCUCCCAAGUAGCAAAAGCAGUGGUUUCUUCAAUUACUUGUCUUAGCACAUUAUCAAUAAUAUCCAUAAGUGUACCGUAAGCUACCUCUUCCAUUGUUUCUCUUUCUGACUUGGCUAAAGUUGUAGGGAGUUCUUUUGGGUCUUCUUAAGGUUUCAAGGCUUUUUGUAAACCCAAUAUUGCAAUAAUUCUUUUUGUCCACAAGAUAAAGUCUCCAUUCCCAUCAAAAUUUUCAAUUUCAUACUUUGUAGUAGUCAUUUUCUUGCUUUUCUUCUAAUGGCUCUGAUACCAGUUAUUGGAAAAAGUAGAAACAAAAGUUUCACUUUCUUUGUAAAAGCAACUUUGAGACAAGUGUAAUUUGUGGAGAAAUUAAAUGUUGAGUUACCUUUUUACCCUUUACUUUUCUCUCACCUUUUCAAUAUCUUUGCAAGUUGUCGUCACUUUUGUUUUUUUGUAUUUCUUUUCUCUUGCAUGGUUCAACGAGAGAGUAAGGAAGAAGAAAAGAGGGUUUCAAAAAGAAGAUGAAGAGAUGAGAAAAGUGAACAAGAUGAAGUUUAUAGUGGUUCAACACAUAGCCUACAUCCACUCCUUAAAGGGUAAAAAAUCCUUUUAUUCAACAUUCAUUUAGAAAGUAGAUUCAAGAUAUGAACAUAUUUUUCAUUCUACAUCUCCAUGAAUUUAUUCGGUAUAUUUUCUACUUGAGGCUACAACACUUUUAUUAUGUUCUAAAAAAAAGUAGUUGUAACUAAUUUUUUUCAUUUCUUUAACAAGUGGAGAGAUGGAAGCCCUCUUAGAGAAUUUGGUUCAUCAACAAAUUUCAACAACAUCCACAUAAAGGUUAUUUAUUUGUUCAUCAAUCCAGAUAGAACCAAUCAAUCAAGAUUGGUUCAUCUUAAUUUCAGUUUGUUCAAUUUAUUUAUUUGUUUAUUAUUUUGUUCCCUUUUAUUAAUCUCAUCAUGAAAUUCUACACAUCAAAAUAUUUUAUUUUUAACUAUUUAUGUAUAAGUUUUUCUUUGGAUUCAAAUAUGUGAAUGCUCUAAACAAGUAGAAAAAGCUUAAUAUGUAAAGGAAAGUGA
rnacentral:lncRNA from 1 species